rnacentral:lncRNA from 1 species
GUUAUAUCACUAUUAAAUAACAGAGUGGAAAUUUAAACAUAGGCAAGGAACAGUACUCUUAACCAUGGUACUACACUGUUUGCUAUGGAUCAGGCAAAAUCUGGAGGUGUAUUUAGUUCACAGUGGGGAGAAAAUACACUAACGUCCUGUGUGUAAGCUCAAAAUAAAAAUGUAUUCAUGAAUGAGAACUUAACAUUCACACAAAAAUGCACACAAAUAGCAACUCUUAUAAUUGCCAAAAAUCAGAAAUAGUCCAAAUGUCCUUCAAAGAUGAAUGAAUAAAACUGGUACAUUUGUACCAUGGGAUACUGUUCAACAACAAACAGGAAUAACCUGUUUGUGUAUUCAACAAGCUAAAUGAAUCUCAAAGCCAUUAUAUUGAGUGAAAGAAACCAGUCUCAAAAGGUUACAUAAUCUGAUUCCAUAUAUGAUGUCAAUGAAAUAGCAAAACUAUAAUGAAGGAAAACAGACCAGUGGUUGCCAGUGGGUAGUGACAGGGAAAGGUGUAAAUGUAAGGAAUAGGCACAAGAGAGGUUUUGGCAGGUAGUACAGUUCUGCAUCUUGACUGUGAUACACAUAAAGUGAAUACACAUAACACAUGCAAAAUGAAGAGGGGUGGUCAAUUCUGCCUAGACAUUCCUGUAUCAUUGUGAACGAUUCACUCUGUCUUACCAAUGGGCAUCAUGCAAGGCUCCCUUGCAGCUAGAUAUGGCCUUGUGUUAAUUUUUGGCUAUUAUAUUAUUGGGUGGGUUUUCCAGGAGAUCUCCUAAAAGAAGCAAAUUUGUUAUGUUUUGUUUUUUUUCCCCCUUUCCUGCUGUGUAGAAUGAAGAUACAAAGAUCAAAAUUUGGGCAUCAUUUUUGUAUGCAGUACUAUCUUCAAGAUGCCAGCUUCAUACCAUGUUAGGAACAGCAAGCAGAUGGGGUCUUCACAGGUUCAGGAGAAGCUUGGGAUUGGAACUGGUAGCCUCCUUGUACUGAACUUCACUCAGUGCUGCCACAUGCUUUUGUUAGAGACUCCAGGAAAUGUAUUUCAAUGAUUGUCAUUGCCUCAGGGGACAAAUACUACCAUUUUUUAUGAACAUCCUCAACAGUUCACCUGAUCAGAAAAAUUAACAUUCUACUUUAACAAUUUGUUUAGUGGCCUAGGGAAGCCACUAAAUUUUGCAGCAAAGGCUUUCAAGCCAUGUUCCAUGAAGCAUUCAGGGUUGGCUUACGUGAAAAGCCUUCUGCCUCCUCUGCAGCCAGAAAGGCUUUGCUUUACCAUGUUUUGGUAUCACUGUUUUUAAAAAUGUGUGUGUGUGUAUUUGUAUGUGAGACAGAGAGAGAGGGAAGGGAAAAUAAAUUUCUGUAUGGGAAGAUUCACCCAAGAAAUUUCAUUGCUUGAAGAUGCUUAUGCUAUACAUCAUUAAAGAAAGUAAAUUUUACAAGUUUUCAAAAUAAAAUGGUCAUGACCAUUUUUUUAGAUAUGAAGUAUUGGGACCUCAAUCUCCUUUUUGUGAAUGUAAAGUGAACCCAGAAAUUUUUCCAAGGAAGAUUUGGACAUAUCUCAGAUAUUUCCAUUUUAUUUGUUUGUUUUGAUACCAGGGAUGGAACUCCUGCACUCAAUCACUGAGCCACAUCCCCAGCCCUAUUUUUUUUUUUUUUGUAUUUUAUUUAGAGAUGAGGUCUCACUGAGUUAU